GACGAACGCUGGCGGCGUGCUUAACACAUGCAAGUCGAACGAUGAAGCCGGAGCUUGCUCUGGUGAAUUAGUGGCGAACGGGUGAGUAACACGUGAGUAACCUGCCCUUGACUCUGGGAUAACUGCGGGAAACUGUAGCUAAUACCGGAUACGACCCUCGGAGGCAUCUCCUGGGGGUGGAAAGAAUUUCGGUCAAGGAUGGACUCGCGGCCUAUCAGCUAGUUGGUGAGGUAAAGGCUCACCAAGGCGACGACGGGUAGCCGGCCUGAGAGGGGGACCGGCCGCACUGGGACUGAGACACGGCCCAGACUCCUACGGGAGGCAGCAGUGGGGAAUAUUGCACGAUGGGCGCAAGCCUGAUGCAGCAACGCCGCGUGAGGGAUGACGGCCUUCGGGUUGUAAACCUCUUUUAGCAGGGAAGAAGCGAAAGUGACGGUACCUGCAGAAAAAGCACCGGCUAACUUCGUGCCAGCCGCCGCCGUAA
rnacentral:rRNA from 1 species